rnacentral:rRNA from 1 species
GUCCACGCCGUAAACGAUGGGUACUAGGUGUAGGAGGUGUCGACUCCUCCUGUGCCGAAGCUAACGCAUUAAGUACCCCGCCUGGGGAGUACGGCCGCAAGGCUAAAACUCAAAGGAAUUGACGGGGACCCGCACAAGCAGCGGAGCAUGUGGUUCAAUUCGACGCAACGCGAAGAACCUUACCUGGGCUUGACAUGUCGGUGACAACCGUGGAAACACGGUCUCCCUUCGGGGCACCGUCACAGGUGGUGCAUGGCUGUCGU